rnacentral:rRNA from 1 species
GACGAGCCACACGAACGUUAUUCGGAAUUACUGGGCUUAAAGGGUGCGUAGGCGAUGCGGAAAGUUGGGUGUGAAAUCCCUCGGCUCAACCGAGGAACUGCGCCCAAAACUACCGCACUCGAGGAAGAUAGAGGUGAGCGGAACUUACGGUGGAGCGGUGAAAUGCGUUGAUAUCGUAAGGAACACCCGUGGCGAAAGCGGCUCACUGGGUCUUUUCUGACGCUGAUGCACGAAAGCUAGGGGAGCAAACGGG